rnacentral:rRNA from 1 species
CUGACGGUAGUCGUAUGCUCGUCUCCGAGACUAAGCCAUGCAAGUCCAAGUACACGUCCUGAACGACGGAAACUGCGAACGGCUCAUUAAAUCAGUUGCGAUCUACUCGGCGUUCCGCGCCGCCGGAUAACCGUAGUAAUUCUAGGGCUAAUACGUGCGAAGCGCCCGAAGCCGCGAGGCGACGGGCGUUCUCGCCGGAUGUAGGAACCGACCCGGGGACCGCCGGGGGCAACCCGGCGCCCCCGAGACGGGGCGAACCACGGUGAAAUGACGGAUCGUCGGCCCCGCGCCGGCGACUCGCCGAAUGAGUUUCUGACCUAUCAACUCGAGACGGCGGGGUAGAGGCCCGCCGCGGUAACGACGGGUAACGGGGAAUCAGGGUUCGAUUCCGGAGAGGGAGCCCGAGAAACGGCUACCACUUCCAAGGAAGGCAGCAGGCGCGCAACUUACCCUAAUCUCGAUUCGAGGAGGUAGUGAC